AGAGGUUAGAGUAAGGUGUGAGGGGCCUGGUGGGACCAGGGGUACAGAGGUUAGAGUAAGGUGUGAGGGGCCUGGUGGGACCAGGGGUACAGAGGUUAGAGUAAGGUGUGAGGGGCCUGGUGGGACCAGGGGUACAGAGGUUAGAGUAAGGUGUGAGGGGCCUGGUGGGACCAGGGGUACAGAGGUUAGAGUAAGGUGUGAGGGGCCUGGUGGGACCAGGGGUACAGAGGUUAGAGUAAGGUGUGAGG